GCUUUCUUCAUACCUGCAGAUGUGUGUUCAACUAGUGCUACUGCAGAUCCCACAAGCACUGCAUGGGAUAUGUCACACAUUUCAGACAAAGAGCAGAUGUUGAGUGUAUCUCCAACCCAUGCAAGGGAUUUAGGCAUCUUGAUGAGGCGGAUUGAUUCCUCGUCAGAGCAGCCCACAAGAUUAAUGGAUAAUUUCACAUCUGGUGGAUACUUGGCUCUAUGAUGCAAAGCUCGAGCUCCUCUCAGUGAUGUAAAUGCUGACGUACCUUCAGAGCACGCCCCCACUCUCUCAAAGAUGGAAAGCUCAAGCAGGAAGCAUUCCAGGAGAGGAAGGAUGGAUGUAAUUCUUCAGCAGAGGAUGCUGCAAACAUGAAUCCAUCUUUUUCAUAACAACUCCUCCAAGCUUUUCCAUGAUGUCAAGAAGAUUUUCAGAAAGCGGUGCCUCUUCCUCAUCCACAAGAAUAAUGGGGGAUGGAGAUUUGAGACGUAGAAGCUUAACUACGUCCAUGCUUUCCUCAAGUGGCACAAGUGGGAUCAAAGGCAUGUCUUCAAAGGUUCCCAUCUGACAAUGAAGUCUCUAGUUGGCCAGGCUGUUGAUAGGAUGUCCUUGAUGAGUCGAGCUGAUCGUUCAGGGUUCAGUACUUGUAGUUGGGUGCAGGCUCUUCCUGUUCAAACAACAAGGGGAAAUUUAAUUCGUUUCAGUAAUUAUGAUAGAAGUUGCCAAAUGUUAACUGUCAAAGUUGAACAAGCUAGCAUUGUUGUUUUUAUAUUAGAAAUUAGUGUUGUUGCUGUUUUACAAUGCAGCAGUCUGAAGUUAAAACUUUUUUUUUCUUACACUUCUUGACACAAUUUUGCUCCACUCAUUGAGGAAUGAUAAGACUCUCAGGACAAAUGUCAUGUAAAUUCAGGGGCAAAGCAGAUGAUUGAGACUUCUCUUUUUUAGUAAUCAAUAUCAAACCUUUUUUCAAAUGAAAAACUCUCUUGCCUUCAAAUUGCCACCAUGGAAAAACAUUGCAGUUACUUAGAUAAUAACUUGUCAAAACUGUCAAAAAACAAUCCACCAGAAUCAGUUUCGAAAAAAAUUAGGGGGUAGCACUACACAAAUAGAUACAUUUUAAAAUUAAUACUGUUAAAUAAAGAACAAAAUACGAAUAAUUAGUAUGCAUACUCUUAAUUUCAGACUUACAGAAUUGUUGCAGCACAUGCACAAAUCAUGUUCUGAUCACAAAAGCACACAGUUUGUCAGUUUUCAACCCUACAAGUUAUAAAGUGCACCAUGAAACACUGUAGUAAAUGUGUAUAAAAUAAGUUAUAAUGAUUCAAGAGUAAACGUGUGUCACUUAUAGGACAGAAACUAAAUAUUUCUGUUAAAGUUUUCUGACUGCAGUUAUCAUGGUGCACAGGUACAGCCAUGCCUUAGUUAGGUUAACAGUAAAAAGGCCCAAUACUUAAAGGUCCAGUGUGUAGGAUUAAGGGACAGAAAAGGAACACAGAGAUGGGGUUGUUCAGUUGGUUGCGAUGUGCAACGACACCGCUAGAUGCCACUCAAUCAUACAUAAUGGACCUAUAACACAC